rnacentral:rRNA from 1 species
GAUGAACGCUGGCGGCGUGCUUAACACAUGCAAGUCGAACGGUGAAAGCGGAGCUUGCUCCGCUGGAUCAGUGGCGAACGGGUGAGUAACACGUGAGCAAUCUGCCCCUGACUCUGGGAUAAGCGCUGGAAACGGCGUCUAAUACCGGAUACGACGCGCGACGGCAUCGUCCGCGCGUGGAAAGACCUUCGGUUCGGGAUGAGCUCGCGGCCGAUCAGCUUGUUGGUGAGGUAACGACUCACCAAGGCGACGACGGGUAGCCGGCCUGAGAGGGUGACCGGCCACACUGGGACUGAGACACGGCCCAGACUCCUACGGGAGGCAGCAGUGGGGAAUAUUGCACAAUGGGCGCAAGCCUGAUGCAGCAACGCCGCGUGAGGGACGACGGCCUUCGGGUUGUAAACCUCUUUUAGCAGGGAAGAAGCGAAAGUGACGGUACCUGCAGAAAAAGCACCGGCUAACUACGUGCCAGCCGCCGCCGUAAUAC